CCUACGGGAGGCAGCAGUGGGGAAUAUUGGACAAUGGGGGGAACCCUGAUCCAGCGACGCCGCGUGAGUGAAGAAGUAUUUCGGUAUGUAAAGCUCUAUCAGCAGGGAAGAAAGAAAUGACGGUACCUGACUAAGAAGCCCCGGCUAACUACGUGCCAGCAGCCGCGGGAAUACGUAGGGGGCAAGCGUUAUCCGGAUUUACUGGGUGUAAAGGGAGCGUAGACGGCGAUGCAAGUCUGAAGUGAAAGGCGGGGGCCCAACCCCCGGACUGCUUUGGAAACUGUAUGGCUGGAGUGCAGGAGAGGUAAGUGGAAUUCCUAGUGUAGCGGUGAAAUGCGUAGAUAUUAGGAGGAACACCAGUGGCGAAGGUGGCUUACUGGACUGUAACUGACGUUGAGGCUCGAAAGCGUGGGGAGCAAACAGGAUUAGAUACCCUUGUAGUC
rnacentral:rRNA from 1 species